rnacentral:misc_RNA from 1 species
GACGGAGGGGGCUAGCGUUGUUCGGAAUUACUGGGCGUAAAGCGCGCGUAGGCGGUCCGUUAAGUCAGAGGUGAAAGCCCGGGGCUCAACCCCGGAACGGCCUUUGAGACUGGCGGACUUGAGUACGGGAGAGGUGAGUGGAAUUCCCAGUGUAGAGGUGAAAUUCGUAGAUAUUGGGAAGAACACCGGUGGCGAAGGCGACUCACUGGCCCGUAACUGACGCUGAGGUGCGAAAGCGUGGGGAGCAAACAGG